AGCGAACGCUGGCGGCAGGCCUAACACAUUCAAGUCGAACGAACCUUUCGGGGUUAGUGGCGGACGGGUGAGUAACACGUGGGAACGUGCCUUUAGGUUCGGCAUAACUCAGGGAAACUUGUGCUAAUACCGAAUGUGCCCUUCGGGGGAAAGAUUAAUCGCCUUUAGAGCGGCCCGCGUCUGAUUAGCUAGUUGGUUGAGGUAAUGGCUCACCAAGGCGACGAUCAGUAGCUGGUCUGAGAGGAUGAUCAGCCACAUUGGGACUGAGACACGGCCCAAACUCCUACGGGAGGCAGCAGUGGGGAAUCUUGCGCAAUGGGCGAAAGCCUGACGCAGCCAUGCCGCGUGAAUGAUGAAGGUCUUAGGAUUGUAAAAUUCUUUCACCGGGGACGAUAAUGACGGUACCCGGAGAAGAAGCCCCGGCUAACUUCGUG
rnacentral:rRNA from 1 species